rnacentral:rRNA from 1 species
UGUAGCCACAGCACCCUGAGAACGCCCCAUCUCACCUGAUCUGGGAAGCUAAGCAGGGUGGGGCCCGGUCAGUGCUUGCAUGGGAGACCAUGAAGGCCAAUUGGACCUGGGGGGGUUAGAA